GCCCUAAGCACCCCCACAAACUACGGCUAGUCUUUUAAAGAAGCACACAGCCCUCCCUGCUUCCACCGUCACUCCCCCUUCUCUUCUUCCUAUUCUGCCUCUGCUUCUCUACCGUCAUUCUCACCACAACUUACAAACUUUUCUUCCCCCAUCCCCAACGCCCUGCACAGCACAGUGCAACCGUCCCAGCAGCCUAACAUCUUCCCACCCCCUUGUACGACUUCCUUAGGUGGAUACUGCAUAGUUACCAUCUUCAACCACACAUUAUUCCUGCGAUGGAUACCUCAACAACAGAUCCCGCACAACAGCUUCCACCAAAGAAGUGUCCAGUUAUUGUGCUACCUCGAAGCCCCAGAGAUCUGACGUGCCUGAUCUCACAAUUGCGGAUUCAAUAUCUGAGGAAAAAGCAGGAACACUUGAGAGCCCAACUUUAUGGAGGAGUUCUUUGUCAUCCCGCAAACACCGAAUGACUCCGCAUAUAUUUGUUACCGUACUAAUUAAAACUUAUAUUAUCACAUGUAUUAUGUCCUCCGAUGGCCGACCAUAAUUCAACUGUAGUAGCUUAUUAGACAACAAUAUGUACAAAGCUCCCGUAGCGAAGAUAUCUAAUUAAUCAUUCCUACAGCCUUUUACUUAUUUUUUUGGAUUUCCAAUCUAUUUAUGUAUGAAUAAACAUGAUCUAAUAAAGGGAAUUCUGUUGACUUUAUGUA